rnacentral:lncRNA from 1 species
GAGAUUUUAUCAAACUUUGGACUGUAAGGCUUCGUUUGGCUCGUGGUUAAGUAAGAAUUAGUUAUUUCAGGAAUAGGAUUAAGUUCAGAAUUAAGAUGGGAUUAGAGUAAAUUUGUGUGCGUGAGUGUAUUUGUUUCACCAUACAAAUUUAAUUUUUUGAGUCUCAGAUACCAACCAUCAAACCCUUUUGCCACUUGCGCUAGGGACGGUCGGUUCACUAUACAAAUCUAUUAUUAAGAUCUUGUUUAAUAUCAUUGUAAAUUUUUUAUU